rnacentral:rRNA from 1 species
AUACGGAGGUAACAAGCGUUAUUCGGAAUCACUGGGCGUAAAGGACGCGUAGGCGGGUUAUUAAGUCGGGUGUGAAAUCCAAUGGCUCAACCAUUGAACUGCAUUCGAAACUGAUAACCUAGAGUAUGGAAGGGGCAGGUGGAAUUAGUGGUGUAGGGGUAAAAUCCGUAGAUAUCACUAGGAAUACCGAAAGCGAAGGCGACCUGCUGGGACAUUACUGACGCUGAGGCGUGAAAGCGUGGGGAGCAAACAGGAUUAGAAACCCUAGUAGUCC